rnacentral:lncRNA from 1 species
UCUGAAGUGCGGUUUCUUGAAUCUGAUGGAAAUAUUUAAAAUAUUUAUAAAGUUCUCUAUACGCACACUCUUGGUUAUGUGAUAGUAUCAAAAAAGUUAUAUUUAUUCGUUAGUUAUUUUUUCUUUACGCUAGUGUUUCUGUAAAUGUCUUGGAAAUAAAAUCUACAAAAAAUAAUGGAUGUAACUUUACCGAUUUAGUCAAAAAAUCAGUAUCCAUGUACUUUUACUUAUUUAACGAUAUAAUGUAGUUUUUAUUCCCAAUUUAAAGUUUUUUCUAAGAAAAUUGUAGUUCUGGAUCAUUUUUAAGAUGCUUUACUUGUUUAUUUUUAAACAAAAAAUUUUGUCUAGUCACACAAAAAUCGGGUAUAUCUCUCUAGUGUUUACUAAGUGACUCAAAUUGAUGUACUUUAUAUAAAUAAGUCUCCUGAAAGUAGGCUUCUUGGUACAAAUUUUAUUAAAACAUUCCUCUCUUUACUAAUGUACCAAUUAACCAAACGAUAAAAAUGUGUUACAUUUCAAAAAAAUUCUACCUUAUUAGCAUUAUUUGACUCUACCAAUAUAUCAAUUUCAAACUAUGUAUAGCGGUACGCUUUAAUUACUAUAUUUGCUAAUUUUAUUUUCUUAGUUUUUGAUAACUUUUCUCAAAACGAAACGGCAUUGGUCAUUUAAAAUCCACAUGUGAUAUACAAACCAUAGGCCGUUGAUUUCGAGGAAACACUAAUAGGUUACGAUGCCCCAGGUCGCCACACUUUUUAUGUCAACUUCUUAAAAUACAAAAAAGCUUCUCAUCUCUUAAAAGGCAGAGGCAGUAAUUUAUGGACCAUCUGGCCAUUAUAGCAAAA